rnacentral:rRNA from 1 species
AUGCCUCCAGUGUUUAUCUUUUUUUUUCGAUUUUUCUUUUUAUUUCUCUCUUCAUUUUCUCAGGCAUUUCAACAAACAGACUACGGGCAUGUCUGUCAGUGGCACCACGACCAGGCAAGGCCACACGGCGGCGCACUGGGGAGCCGGCCGAUACAGCCAACAAGGAGACGCUUGGGCAGCGGCCAUAGUGGUCUUCUAUGGUUGUCAAGGCGGCGGCGGGCUCGAGUGCAGAGGACGAGGCCUGACGCGCAUCCGCCUCCAUUAGCCAGAGCAGGAUGCCCCGCGCAGGAGCUGACUCGGGGCGCGGGCCGAUGCUUCUUCAACUGCCAGCCACUAGCCGCGCCGCCGGCCGGCCGCCAGCCGCGCCGCUAG